rnacentral:lncRNA from 1 species
CUUUCCCAAGAUACCGGUCCCUUUAAUAUAAUUCCAAUCAUAUACUAAUAAUAUCAUUCAUUCAAAACUUUAAUAAUAAAUCACAGUCGUACAAUUUUAUUUAUUUUUAAAUUAUCAUAAAAUAUAUUAAUUCUUAGUCAUAGAUCUAAUCAAUGACUGGAAAGAAUUAAGUAUCUGUCACUUUUUUUACCUAAAUUGCCCUCAAAUAGUACGUAUCAAAUUUUACUUUUUAUAUGCAUGUCAUAUCUUCUAAUAACCGCCGCCCACAUAAUAUCAUAUUUUAUAACAAAUAAUAUUCGCAUUUCUAAAUAUUUUAUUUCUCACACAAAAUAUCCGCCACCUAUAUAAUAUCCAAUCACAUAAUACCUUCCGCAUAUAUAAUAUUUAAUCAUAUUUUUUAAAAGAUGAAUAUACAAAAAUUAUCUCAAUUUUACCUAUUAAUAUUUGAAAUAUGAGAUAUUUUUUCAAUAAAAUAUAACAUAUAAAUUUACAAUUUUAAAUUUUAAAGUUGUAGAUAAAUAUAACUCACAAUUGAUAUAAACAGUAUUUCAAAUUGAAAAUAAUUAAUUAAUUUGAAAAUAUAUCAAUUUUGAAAAAUAGAUGGGAUGAUAAAUAAAUUAAUGUCUUUAAUAAUUAUUUAUAUUGAAAUUAAGGAUUCAAAAUUAAUUUCAAAAUUUAAGUUUUAUUCAUAAAUUUAAAUCUGAAUUUAUUAAUUUAAAAUUUAGAAUUACUUCAAAUUUUUAAAAUUUGGAUACACAUUAAAAAAAAUUAAUGUUAGAAAAAAACUAACUGAUAAAUAAAUUUAUACCACCAAUAAUUACUUAAAUUUAAAAUACUAAUAUAAAUUUAAUUUAAUUAAAUGUUACGUGCAUUGCACGUACACUAUAACUAGUAUAUAUAUAAAAGCACGUAUUUUAAAUUUCGGUCUGUCGACAGACCCAUUUUUUGGCGGAAAAAAAAAAUUGAUUCCUCUUUCCUUACGUAAAAUAAAUAAAGUAAUGAAACAAACUUUUAAUUUCUCUUUAUCUCUAAAAUAGAAAUAAAUUCAUACUUAUCUAAAUUUUUGCCAGAAUAUCAAUCUGUUAAAAAAUAGUAUUUCUAUCUAUCUAUUUUAUAAUAAAAUUUAAAUUUGUGUUUAAAUCGUGAAUUAAAUUUAAUUUUUAAUUUUUGAUUUCAAAUCUAUCCAUCUAUUUUAUACUAAAAUUUAAAUUUGAUAUCGUAGAUAUUUUCUAAUAAAAUAUAAUAUAUAAAUUUACAAAUAUUUUAUUCUAAAUUUUUUUAAAAAAAUAUGAUUUACAAAUUUUUAUUAAUUUAAAAUAAAUUAAAAUAAUUGNAUAUAUAUAUAUAUAUAUAUAUAUAUAUAGAAAGAUAUGGUCGAAACUCGAGUUACUUGAAACAGCCUAAUUGUCUUCGGCCCAACUUGCAUCAAAUCAAUUAUGGUAAAAAAAAGUGAAAAAAUAAUAAAAUAAUAUAAUGGAUAAUGCCAAUUAUAUUUGAAUAUAUUUACUUAUGGUACUAAUUAUUUUUUAUUUAGUUUGCAUAUUUAAAUAUGAUAAAAAUUGAUUCUUUAAGUUUUAGUAUUUUCUUCAUUUUAGUUUAUACAUUUAAAAUGUGAUGAAAAUUGAUUAUUUAAAUAUUAAUAUUUUUACUUUAUAAUUUUAUUAUUGUAUUGUUAUAAUUUAUGUAUAAAAAAACAAUUUAGCAGUUUUAGAUUAAUUUUUAAUUAUAUAAAAAUAUACUUAUAUUAUACUUUAUUAUUUAUAUAUAAAAUAAGUUUUAUGUUAUUCGCUUCUAGCCAAACAAAUAGCAAAGCUGAAUAAACUUUACUUCUAUAAUUAUGAAACAAUCAACGAGGGAAAAAUAAUUUUCACCUGUACUCCGCUUCAACCUGAAGUUCACUUCAAUGCAAAGUUCAAUUUCUAUAAAAGUCUAAAGUUUGUUAUAAGAUGUUUGAAAGCUAAAGUUCCUUAUAAGAUGUUUGUAGGUUUCUUGAUCUAAAGGACAGAAUAGAGGGAUAUAUAAUGUGAACUUGAAUUAAAUAAGAAAAAAAUAAUUCUAUAAAAAAAAAUUAGUAGCUCUACAACGUGAAUUUAAAUGAAAUAGGAGGAAAUUAUUUCUCCAAAAACAUAACAAGUCAAUGACGUAGGAUUGAAUUAAAUGAGAGAAAAUCAAUUAUACUAGGAGUCUGACAUACCAUGUUAAAUUAUGUGAAUCAAUUAUACUAGUAAAGAACGAUAUUUUUAUAAUUUUAUAUUUCUACAGUUUAUUUGAUUUUUAUCUGUUAAUUUUUAUCCGCUAAUUUUUACUACUAAUAAUCUUUAAAAACUAUU